UAUAUGGCAUUCUGAACCACAUCCAAGUCUACAGCAGCGGAAAGAAAAGUUGAAGUGCUGACAAGGCAGGAAAUACACAGUAUUAAGGAAAAGAUCCGAUGUCCAAGUGAAACAAGUCUGUUUCACUUGGAAAUCUAUAUAUGAUACAGAUUGUGAAAUGCCAAGAGAAAAUCUGGUCCUCUCACAGUUUGUAAAAUGGACUAAAUAAGAGCAGCUGUGUGGGUAAAUAAUUACCCCAUACUUUGGCAUUACAAUGUUGGCUGAUUUUUGCCCAUUUUUUGACAAUGGAACUCUUUCACAUGCAAGUCCUGGGAAAUAACAGCCAAAGGAUAUUAUCUGUCAGUUUGUUAAACCAAUAGUGGAGUUAGUAAUUUCUGAAUGCAACAGAACCCUUCUUUUGUUGAGCUGUUGUUUUGUGACUCUCCCGUUUACCUUACCCCAAGUGAAUGUUGCACUACAAUGUCUCUCUUGCCCAGCUAUGACUGAGGCAAGACAGAAUAAAGAAAAGCCAAUGAUAAAUACAAAAUAUGCAAAUAAGUAUCAUUACAUUAAUUCAUUCUGGGAAAAAGUGCAGAAUCUUGGAAACAGAUUUCUCAAGAGAGCAAGAGCAAUUUAAAAGAGCAUGACCUGUGUGGCAUUAUAUCCAUGUUCCCAGGAAAAACCUGUGCUCAGUUAAAUCUCAAGACAGACUCACAGGAAAUCACAAGUUGCCUAUCUUAUUUCAUAGCUGGAUGCUGUUCUGCAAGGUUUUAAUUACAGAGGUGCUGUGACAAGAGCUUUGGUAUCCAAGUUUAGUGUGAGAUAAAUGGAUGAAAGUCAAGCUGUCCUUUAGUUGUAAUUGUGGUGUAGCUGGGUCCUAGGGGUGUCCCUGUGUGCACACUCAGUGCCCCAAACUCUUUAAUUCCCUGGGUGCUCCAGGAAUUCCUCAGCUAGUCCCUGCACAGAAGAGACACACAGCUGAGCAAAGGCAAGGUGACAGACUUGGCUCCUCCUCAGCUCCACAAUAAAAGGAUCUGUCUAACUCUUGCGAAAGAUUUUCAGGUGAGGAAUUCAGACAGUGCUGAGGGUACCUCCCAAGCUCCUGCUGGCUCCAAGACAAUUUUCUACACCUCCUGGGUGAAGAAUCUGGCCCUUUCAGACCCUCCUGGUGGUUCCUGCUGCAGAACUGCUGGGAUUGCAUGCAGGACCAGAGCUUGGUUGUUUAUCAUACUUCCCACUUCUAAUUAUUAGCACCUUCAAGAGAUCUGUUUCACCAAAGAUUGUUUAUGGAAGAUUGGUUAUUGUAUGACAGAAAGUGGACAUUGACCUGGAUGAUCUAAUUUUCUGUAUCUGACCUAGAAAAGUAGUCUGUACUCAUAGUUGCUCUGUAAAAUGAUAUUAUUAAUAUUUUUAAGAAGACAGUUGUAGAAACCAUUUUAAUAAAAUCUGAGUAGACUCUUAA